AGAACAAUAACAGACGUACACAAACACUCACACCACAGACAGACAGAGACACACACACACACACGUUACUCAGCUACCUUUCAUCGAUAUCAAUACUGGCAGCUCCCUUUUUGUAAAUUCAGUGAUAUAAUACCUGUGCAUUGUGGAUUUAUUUAUCAUUUUCUUUUUACAUUUAUCAUAUCAAAAGUAUUAAACAAUGUGAAUGGAAUGUACAAAUCUUAUAAAAAAGAUACAAUACAUAAAUAAUUAAAAAGGAGUUUGUAUAGUUAUGAAUGUAAUCACAUUUUUAUAAUGUUCCCGAUUUACGUUAUUAUUCUGGACUUUGGGCAGAAUGUGCAGAAGUGUGAUUGUAAUUCCCUUUUUCUUUUAUUUCAAUAAAGUUGAU